UUGUCCUCGGUGAAACUCAUGUUGAGAU
rnacentral:piRNA from 1 species